rnacentral:rRNA from 1 species
UACAGAGGUCUCAAGCGUUGUUCGGAUUCAUUGGGCGUAAAGGGUGCGUAGGCGGCGCGGUAAGUCGGGUGUGAAAUCUCGGAGCUUAACUCCGAAACUGCAUUCGAUACUGCCGUGCUUGAGGACUGGAGAGGAGACUGGAAUUUACGGUGUAGCGGUGAAAUGCGUAGAUAUCGUAAGGAAGACCAGUGGCGAAGGCGGCAUCCUGGACCAAUUCUGACGCUGAGGAGCGAAAGCCAGGGGAGCAAACGGG